rnacentral:rRNA from 1 species
UACGUAGGGUGCGAGCGUUGUCCGGAAUUAUUGGGCGUAAAGAGCUCGUAGGCGGCCUGUUGCGUCCGCUGUGAAAUCCCAGGGCUCAACCCUGGGCGUGCAGUGGAUACGGGCAGGCUGGAGGCAGGCAGGGGAGAACGGAAUUCCCGGUGUAGCGGUGAAAUGCGCAGAUAUCAGGAGGAACACCGGUGGUGUAGACGGCUUACUGGACCAUAACUGACGCUGAGACACGAAAGCGUGGGUAGCAAACAGG